ACAGCUCAAAUUUGAAAUCUGGCGUCUUCGGNNNNGAGNUGUAAUUUGCAGAGGGCGCUUUGGCAUUGNCAGCGGUCCAAGUUCCUUGGAACAGGACGUCACAGAGGGUGAGAAUCCCGUACGUGGUCGCUAGCCUUUACCGUGUAAAGCCCCUUCGACGAGUCGAGUUGUUUGGGAAUGCAGCUCUAAAUGGGAGGUAAAUUUCUUCUAAAGCUAAAUACUGGCCAGAGACCGAUAGCGCACAAGUAGAGUGAUCGAAAGAUGAAAAGCACUUUGGAAAGAGAGUUAAAAAGCACGUGAAAUUGUUGAAAGGGAAGCGCUUGCAGCCAGACUUGCCUGUAGUUGCUCAUCCGGGUUUAUACCCGGUGCACUCUUCUACGGGCAGGCCAGCAUCAGUUUGGGCGGUUGGAUAAAGGUCUCUGUCAUGUACCUCCUCUCNNNNAGAACUUAUAGGGGAGACGACAUGCAACCNGCCCGGACUGAGGUCCGCGCAUCUGCUAGGAUGNUGGCGUAAUG
rnacentral:rRNA from 1 species